rnacentral:rRNA from 1 species
CGUGUAGGCGGUCUUAUCGGUCAGAUGUGAAAGCCCAGGGCUCAACCCUGGACGUGCAUUUGAAACAGUAAGACUUGAGUACUGGAGAGGAAAGCGGAAUCCCUGGUGUAGAGGUGAAAUUCGUAGAUAUCAGGAGGAACACCGAUGGCGAAGGCAGCUUUCUGGACAGAAACUGACGCUGAUGCGCGAAGGCGUGGGUAGCGAACAGGAUUAGAUACCCUGGUAGUCC